GACCUCUAUACGGCACUUGACUGACUAUAAAUACUCCCCCUCCCACCAUUUCAUUUUAUGUCGGUGUUUGACUCAAUACAGAUUUUAAGAAAGAAAGGGAAAUUUUUAAAAUUUGUGGUCUUAAAAAUGUCGGGAAAUAAUAAAAACAUGUCAUUAACGACAAAUGGAAAGUUCAGAGUUAAAUUAUUUCCAUACAUUAUUUUUUAAAUAGAUUUAUAAGGAAAGUGAGUCACGUAAAAUGAAAUGGAGAGGUCAAUCAAAGUAAAAAAGCACUUGAGCGCCAGUCUCCCAUGGUCCUUUCUAGCUUCAUUAACCGCUUGACCAUACAUGUGGAGCUAGUCAUAUGACCAUUAAUUUGAAUGAACAAAGGCAAAGCACAACAUUGAAUUGAUCUCAACCCAAAUUCACAACUUUUUGCCACCAAAAACAAAAGAAAAUGGACAAAC
rnacentral:misc_RNA from 1 species